rnacentral:antisense_RNA from 1 species
CUGCUCACAGCGUUCUUGUGUCAUCGUUAAACAGAUAAGGCCUCGACCAUGAGUCGCCAUAAAGUUAAUUGCUUCAGCACUAAUAUGCUCAGCAGCAAUAAUUA